GUCUAUGGCCAUACCACCCUGAAUGCACCCAAUCUUGCCUGAUCUCAGAAGUGAAGCAGGGUCGGGCCUGGUUAGUACUUGGAUGGGAGAAGAAAGAUUUUUGUAGAGA
ensembl:rRNA 5S_rRNA 5S ribosomal RNA